GCAGAUCCUAAGCACUGGGUAUGAAGGCCAAGCAAAAAGCCUUGGUUCUGGGCAGGAUCUGCAGUCACAUUUCUAGAUUACCAGCUCAUCCAGGACUUGAGAGACCAAGACCCAGGAGAAAAGGAAACCUCAGAGAGGUCUUAAUUUUCAUCCAGACCACCUUCAGCCCACUUCUACUGACCACAAGCUUUUGGAUCCUGCCCUGGGUCUCUGAGCACAGCAGAAUACAGGAGAAUCCCUUUCUUCUGGAGACAUGAUGCCUUAUCUUCCCUCCCAAAGGACCAUCUCUGCUUCAAUUCCACUGCCAGCCACAUCCUUGCUACCACCCUCUUACUACUUCCUAUUCCAGCCAAACUGUAUUAGUUUUUAAUUUAUUUCACUCAGUUAUUCUUAUUACAGUUUAAAUAUAGAAAAUACAAAAUAUGGAUAUUUAUUUUAUUUCUUAUUAUACAAGCAUAUCCAUGUUAUCUUUGAUAUUGCUACUUGGUCCACACAGGUGGAUAAGGUACCAUAUUUACCAUCUGACCCUUUAUAGAAAAAGUUAGCUGACCCCUCGUCUAAACUAUGAAGACAGAAACAUCUGUUUUUUUCCUUAUUGUAGUCCCACAACAGGUGUAAAUGUGUCCUAAAUGAAUAUCAUUAAGUGAAUAAAUGAUGGAAAAAUUG
rnacentral:lncRNA from 1 species